GCCGUGAGGCUCCGCCCAGAGACGUCGCUGGCCGGGCUCAGACACUCGGAGGCUCCCGCUGGAAGCUCCGCCCCGACUGGGGCUUGUGACUGAUUAAGUGAACAAAGCCAGCCAAAGCAUGAGUGCGCAACCAGCAUGGUUGCAUGAAAACUUCAAGUGGGAGUGACAAAGGAGGCCGACAAAGACGCUCCUGACGGCAAACAGGUACAUACACAAACGGCGGGGCAGAGGGCGCGGCCGCUAGCAGGAAUGCGCUGGAGGCAUCUCGCCACACCCUCCCGAGAUCCCCCCCCCCACUCCUCACCACCACCUCCUGCCAUGUUGCAUCGGCUGAGUCACCUGCUCAACCAGUAUGUGUGCAAGUACGGGCUGGAAGUCCAAAUCCUGGCCACGCACGCCUCCAAACGCAGGCAAACUUGAAAAGUGGCUGAGGAGGGCAUUUUUUUAUUCAGUUAUUUAUUUGUACUGCUCAAAUGUAGCUAGGACAGGCGUCUAUUCACAGUGUCACCUUGACUUACAAGUCAAAUCAAUGUUCCCCACUGAAAUAAAUGGAAAUGCCUUUCAUCCACCCAGCCUCCCAAACGCAACCAACAAUACUGUUUGUAAAUUAUUCUUUAAUAAGAAAAAGUAGUUCAUAAAAACUGACAGUCAUGACAUAAUUGAAUCGACGCUCAAGAAAGUAAACCCUUUGCCACUUUUUUUGCUUCAAUUUGCUGGACAUUGCGCUGCCCAUUCUGGUGUGCAUG